GUGCCAGCAGCCGCGGUAAUACGUAGGGUGCGAGCGUUAAUCGGAAUUACUGGGCGUAAAGCGUGCGUAGGCGGUUUCAUAAGCUUGAUGUGAAAGCCCCGGGCUCAACCUGGGAAUGGCAUUGAGGACUGUGGAGCUAGAGUGCGGCAGAGGGAGGUGGAAUUCCACGUGUAGCAGUGAAAUGCGUAGAGAUGUGGAGGAACACCGAUGGCGAAGGCAGCCUCCUGGGCCGACACUGACGCUGAGGGCACGAAAGCGUGGGGAGCAAACAGGAUUAGAAACCCGCGUAGUCC
rnacentral:rRNA from 1 species